GCCCGUCUGGCUCAGUCGGUAAAGCAUGAGACUCUUGAUCUGGGGAUUGUGAGUUCAAGCCCCACGCUGGGUA
rnacentral:tRNA from 1 species